CUCCCAUGAAAGCACCGUUUCCUCCUGCAGACAGAAGACCAGACACAAAAGGCGGCAGAAAUCAAAUAAAAGGAAAAUGCAGCAGCCACAGGUCAGGCUUGUAUAAAUAUUUAUGCUGGAGGAAGACAUGGUGCCUGAGUAAUGACCUUGUGGCUGGUAUUAAUAGAGAUAAUGUGGAGCUGGGAGACUCGUUGCCAGAAAGAGGGUGAGAGAUAGGAAGGUUUUAAGGCUCUGGGCAGGGCAGCACUUCUGUUUGAUCUUUGGUUGGUGUUUUUAUUUAUGCAUCCAAAUUCCUGCCCUGCCCUGUUCCCAUAAGAGCGGAGUAGGCAGGCGGAUGGGCCAAUAGCUCAGUGACAGAGUGCCUUCUUUGCAUGCAAAAAGGUCCCAGGUUUAAUCCCUACCACCUCCAGGUAGGACUUAGAAAGGUUCCCUGCCUAAAAACCCCAGGAGAGCUGCUGCUGUAGAAAAUCUUGAGCUAGAUGGACCAGUGGUCUGACACGACAAUGAUUAAGAGAAGUCAGAAGCAGCCUCACUAGAUAACCUGUGGAACUCACUGCCACAGGAGGCAGUGACAGCAGCCAACUUGGAUGGCUUUAAAGGAGGAUUAAACAAAUUUAUAGGGGAGAAGGAUAUCAGUGGCUACUAGCCACCGUGGCCGUGCUCUGCCUCCACAGCUGAAUACCAGUUGCUGGAAACCACCGGAGGGGAAAGGCCUGGGGGGCCUGCUUGUGGGUUUGUCACAUGCGUCUGGUGGUGAGCAUAACCAGGGCAUAGCCAAUCAAGCAAAUAAAUAAAUGGGCGUAGCCAAUCAAGUAAAUAAAUACUUAACUAAAAGUAGAAAUAAUCAGAAUACUUGAAAUUGAAAUGUGCGCUGAGGUCACUUAUGAUGUUGUGGCACAUUCUAGCGAUGCAACUGGCAACCCGACUGAGUGAUAGGCGUGGCUUCUGCGAACUGACCAAUUGCGUCACAGGUAGCUCGGUUCUGGAACAGGAUAGGAAGGUGUCCUGCCUCCUCCGAUAAAUUCUGGCUACACCCAUGCACCUGGUUGGUCACAGUGAAAACAGGAUGCUGGACUAAAUGGACCAUUGGCCUAAUCCAGCAAGGCUCUUAUUGUGUUCUUGCAUUCUUUCACACAAACAUCCACUGCUGGUUAACUUUCUCCAUUUCAGCAGCCUAAAUCAGGCAGAAGAGGUCAGCUGAAAGUCAGGAAUCCUUGCUAAUCUACUGGAAAUCGUCCAGUGAUUAAUAAGUAGAUCUACCUUCGCGCUCACCCCUGCUCACUGUGGAAUUCUCUGCAAUGCAAAUAAGAUCCCAAAGCAUGCAUGAAAAGGUUCCCAAUCAGAUCAGUCAAAAAGGUUCUUUGAAGGAAGAAAACCUGAAAAAAUGAUGCCUUGGAUUAAAAUGGGGGGGGGGGGAAUUAUGGAUAAUUCAUGAAGAUAAAUAAGAACUAAAACCAGUGGAUGAUUUGGUGUGUGAUAGCGAUCAUUCCCUUUCAGCUACUGCAAAUGGUGUGGUUUACUGCCUCUUAAUUUGCAGCUGAAGUCAUCCCAUCUUCUGUUUAUAAUGGGCACCAACAAUUUAGGUAACUUAUUCCGUAUAAUGGCUUUAUUUUAUUCGCUGCUUUUCUGCUGAAUGAAAGCAGCAGAAAAUAAAAGUCCUCCACGCGAAAAUCACAGUGAAAGCUGAAUAAAUGGCUAUUCCACAGCAAUAAAAACCCAAAUCUGAAAUUAAAUCCCAAUUUCUUCAUUCUUAAAGCAGCAGCAAAAUUCUAAAGCAGCGGUGGUGAACCACAGGCCUGGGGGUGCAAUGUGGCCCUCCAUACCUCUCUACCUGGCCCUCAGGACUCUCUGCCUUCCAAAUCCCCAACCACACCCUCUAUCUGCCCCCCAAUUAAUCUUUUUACACAGUUUCUUCGCAGACCCUCCAAGUUUCCCCAUUUUCCAGGGACAGUCCUGGAUAUACAGAAGCUGUCCCGGUUUCUGAUUUGAUCCCAGAAUGUCCCCUUUUUCCUUAGGAUGCCCCUAUUUUCAUCGAACAAAAGUUGGAGGGGAUGUCCCUGUUUUCACCAGAGAAACGGAGGGCAUGGAAUAGGACAUCCCUAUUUUCAAUGGAGAAAUGUUGGAGGGUAUGUCUUCAGGCACUUUUCUCUGGUUCAGAUGUGUCUCUGAACUCUGACUCUCCUUCUUGCUUGUCCAGAAGGAUAGAGAGAUGGUGAGUGGGUGUCUAUAGAAACCAGCUUCCUGUACAAAGGUAAAAUUCCUCUCAGUUGCUCCACCUCCUUUUGCCUCUGGCUCCGCCCACCACCAGCACAACUCUAGCCCUGUGAGGGGGUCUCUUGAGAACUCUCAGCAAUCUUAACAAACCACACUUCCCAGGGUUCUUUGGGAGAAAGCCAAUGCUGCUUUCAAUGUACAGCGUGGGUAGAGCCUUAGGUUGUUUCUGCCUGCCAUUGGGCUUUGCCUGCCAUUGGACUUUUGGCUCUGCCUGCUGCCAGCCUCCCUGCUUCCCACCCUACCCGCCUCAAGAACGGUUUAACAAUCAAUCCAUCUUCCCAGGGAACUAUGGGAAUUGUAGUUCUGGGAGGGGAUAAGGGCUCUCCUAGCAACACUUGGCACUCUUGACAAACCACACUUCCCAGGAUUCUUUGGGGGGAAGCCAUGACUGCUCAAAGCAGCUUUAAAUACAUAGCGCAGAUGAGGCCUGCAUGUGGAGCCCACAAGAGGUUUUCCAGUUGGCAAAUGUGCCCAAAUGGGCCCUGCAAAAAGGUUUCCUGAACCCCUGUAAAUAAAUGGCAGGUGAUCCAUGCUGCCUCUGUUUCCAUCGUGUUGGAAGGCAGGUGUUUGCCCAAACACGAUUUUCCAAAUUUUAUCUUAUUCUCCUUUUCUUGUUUCCUCACAAUUUCUGAACACUGCAGUCUGUCCAGAGCGAAGCUGAAAGCCCACCCCACCCUCCUCUGAUGUAUGCAUUUGCCCCCACCUGAUUCCCCAGCUCAGACCCUUUUCUCCUCUUCUGUUUUUUCUUUCUUCUUUCUCCAGAGCGAAACCAGGAGAGGACCUGCCACUCUUGAUCUGUGAGAAGGAGGAUCCCGGAGAUGAAAGCGUCCAGUAAGCCCUGUGAUUGCCUCCAUAAUGGACCACACGCGAGAAAUUAAAUAAACAUCAUUCAUCACUGCCC
rnacentral:lncRNA from 1 species